UUAGGUUUUGGGGCUAGGGUAAGGUUUAAGGUUUUUGGUGUUAGGGUUAAAAUCACUGUCCAAAACCUUUGUAGGAACUCUUUUCUGACCUUUUGGAGUUAGUUAGACCAAAAAAAAAGAAAAAAGGAAAAAAUAUAAUUGGGGUGUUCGGGCUUCCUGAAGGUAAUACCCGGGUAUUAGGUUUUGGGGCUAGGGUAAGGUUUAAGGUUUUUGGUGUUAGGGUUAAAAUCACUGUCCAAAACCUUUGUAGGAACUCUUUUCUGACCUUUUGGAGUUAGUUAGACCAAAAAAAAAUAUAUAUAUAUAUAUAAUUGGGGUGUUCGGGCUUCCUGAAGGUAAUACCCGGGUAUGAGGUUAUGGGGCUAGGGUAAGGUUUAAGGUUUUUGGCGUUAGGGUUAAAAUCACUGUCCAAAACCUUUUUAGGAACAUGUUUCAGACCUUUUGGAGUUGGUAACACCAAAAAUAAAUGUAAAAUGAAAAAAAAAUAUAUGGGGUGUUCGGGCUUCCUGAAGGUAAUACCCGGGUAUUAGGUUUUGGGGCUAGGGUAAGGUUUAAGGUUUUUGACGUUAGGGUUAAAAUCACUGUCCAAAACCUUUUAAGGAACAAGAUUCAGACCUUUUGGAGUUGGUUACACCAAAAAAAAUGUAAAAUGAAAAAAAAUAUAUUUUGGGUGUUCGGGCUUCCUGAAGGUAAUACCCUUCAGGUUUAAGUAUUAGGUUAUGGGGCUAGGAUUAGGUUUAAGGUUUUUGGCGUAAGGGUUAAAAUCACUGUCCAAUAUUUUUUAAGGAACAUGUUUCAGACCUUUUGGAGCUAGUUUGACCAAAAAAAAAAAGAAAAAGAAAAAAUAUAUAUUUGGGGUGUUCGGGCUUCCUGAAGGUAAUACCCGGGUAUUAGGUUAUGGGGCUAGGUUAAGGUUUAAGGUUUUUGGCAUGAGGGUUAAAAUCACUGUCCAAAACCUUUGUAGGAAGUCUUUUCCAACCUUUUGGAGUUAGUUAGACAAAAAAAAAAAGAUGAAUGAAAAAAAAAUAUUUGGGGUGUUCGGGCUUCCUGAAGGUAAUACCCGGGUAUUAGGGUAUGGGGCUAGGGUAAGGUUUAAGGUUUUUGGCGUUAGGGUUAAAAUCACUGUCCAAAACCUUUUUAGGAACAUGUUUCAGACCUUUUGGAGUUGGUUACACCAAAAAAAAUGUAAAAUGAAAAAAAAAAAUAUUUGGGGUGUUCGGGCUUCCUGAAGGUAAUACCCUUCAGGUUUAAGUAUUAGGUUAUGGGGCUAGGAUUAGGUUUAAGGUUUUUGGCGUAAGGGUUAAAAUCACUGUCCAAAACCUUUUAAGGAACAUGUUUCAGACCUUUUGGAGCUAGUUUGACCAAAAAAAAAAAAAGAAAAAGAAAAAAUAUAUAUUUGGGGUGUUCGGGCUUCCUGAAGGUAAUACCCGGGUAUUAGGUUAUGGGGCUAGGUUAAGGUUUAAGGUUUUUGGCAUGAGGGUUAAAAUCACUGUCCAAAACCUUUGUAGGAAGUCUUUUCCAUCCUUUUGGAGUUAGUUAGACAAAAAAAAAAGAUAAAUGAAAAAAAAAUAUUUGGGGUGUUCGGGCUUCCUGAAGGUAAUACCCGGGUAAGGUUUAAGGUUUUUGGCGUAAGGGUUAAAAUCACUGUCCAAAACCUUUUUAGGACCAUGUUUCAGACCUUUUGGAGUUGGUUACACCAAAAAAAAAAAAGAAAAAGAAAAAAAAAAUAUUUGGGGUGUUCGGGCUUCCUGAAGGUAAUACCCGGGUAAGGUUUAAGGUUUUUGGCGUGAGGGUUAAAAUCACUGUCCAAAACCUUUGUAGGAAGUCUUUUCCAACCUUUUGGAGUUAGUUAGACCAAAAAAAAAAGAUAAAUGAAAAAAAUAUUUGGGGUGUUCGGGCUUCCUGAAGGUAAUACCCGGGUAUUAGGUUAUGGGGCUAGGGUAAGUUUUAAGGUUUUUGGCGUUAGGGUUAAAAUCACUGUCCAAAACCUUUUUAGGAACAUGUUUAAGACCUUUUGGAGUUGGUUACACCAAAAAAAAAUGUAAAAUGAAAAAAAUAUAUAUUUGGGGUGUUCGGGCUUCCUGAAGGUAAUACCCGGGUAUUAGGUAAUGGGGCUAGGGUAAGGUUUAAGGUUUUUGGCGUGAGGGUUAAAAUCACUGUCCAAAACCUUUGUAGGACCUCUUUUCCAACCUUUUGGUGUUAGUUAGACCAAAAAAAAACGAAAAUUGAAAAAAAAAUAUUUGGGGUUUUUGGGCUUCCUGAAGGUAAUACCCGGGUAUUAGGUUAUGGGGCUUUGGAAAGGUUUAAGGUUUUUGGCGUGAGGGUUAAAAUCACUGUCCAAAACCUUUGUAGGAAGUCUUUUCCAACCUUUUGGAGUUAGUAAGACCAAUAAAAAAAUGAAAAAUGAAAAAAAAAAAUUUGGGGUGUUCGGGCUUCCUGAAGGUAAUACCCGGGUAUUAGGUUUUGGGGCUAGGGUUAGGUUUAAGGUAUUUGGCGUUAGGGUUAAAAUCACUGUCCAAAACCUUUUUAGGAACAUGUUUCAGACCUUUUGGAGUUGGUUACACCAAAAAAAAUGUAAAAUGAAAAAAAAAUAUUUGGGGUGUUCAAGCUUCCUGAAGGUAAUACCCGGGUAUUAGGUUAUGGGGCUAGGGUAAGGUUUAAGGUUUUUGGCGUUAGGGUUAAAAUCACUGUCCAAAACCUUUUUAGGAACAUGUUUAAGACCUUUUGGAGUUGGUUACACCAAAAAAAAAUGUAAAAUGAAAAAAAAAUAUUUGGGGUGUUCGGGCUUCCUGAAGGUAAUACCCGGGUAUUAGGUUAUGGGGCUAGGGUAAGGUUUAAGGUUUUUGGUGUUAGGGUUAAAAUCACUGUCCAAAACCUUUGUAGGAACUCUUUUCUGGCCUUUUGGAGUUAGUUAGACCAAAAAAAAAGAAAAAAGAAAAAAAUAUAAUUGGGGUGUUCGGGCUUCCUGAAGGUAAUACCCGGGUAUUAGGUUUUGGGGCUAGGGUAAGGUUUAAGGUUUUUGGCGUUAGGGUUAAAAUCACUGUCCAAAACCUUUUUAGGAACAUGUUUCAGACCUUUUGGAGUUGUUAACACCAAAAAUAAAUGUAAAAUGAAAAAAAAAUAUAUGGGGUGUUCGGGCUUCCUGAAGGUAAUACCCGGGUAUUAGGUUAUGGGGCUAGGGUAAGGUUUAAGGUUUUUGGCGUUAGGGUUAAAAUCACUGUCCAAAACCUUUUAAGGAACAAGAUUCAGACCUUUUGGAGUUGGUUACACCAAAAAAAAUGUAAAAUGAAAAAAAAAAUAUUUGGGGUGUUCGGGCUUCCUGAAGGUAAUACCCUUCAGGUUUAAGUAUUAGGUUAUGGGGCUAGGAUUAGGUUUAAGGUUUUUGGCGUAAGGGUUAAAAUCACUGUCCAAUAUUUUUUAAGGAACAUGUUUCAGACCUUUUGGAGCUAGUUUGACCAAAAAAAAAAAAAAGAUGAAUGAAAAAAUAUAUAUUUGGGGUGUUCGGGCUUCCUGAAGGUAAUACCCGGGUAUUAGGUUAUGGGGCUAGGUUAAGGUUUAAGGUUUUUGGCAUGAGGGUUAAAAUCACUGUCCAAAACCUUUGUAGGAAGUCUUUUCCAUCCUUUUGGAGUUAGUUAGACAAAAAAAAAAGAUAAAUGAAAAAAAAAAUAUUUGGGGUGUUCGGGCUUCCUGAAGGUAAUACCCGGGUAAGGUUUAAGGUUUUUGGCGUAAGGGUUAAAAUCACUGUCCAAAACCUUUUUAGGACCAUGUUUCAGACCUUUUGGAGUUGGUUACACCAAAAAAAAAUGUAAAAUGAAAAAAAAAAAAAAUUGGGGUUUUUGGGCUUCCUGAAGGUAAUACCCGGGUAUUAGGUUUUGGGGCUAGGGUUAGGUUUAAGGUAUUUGGCGUUAGGGUUAAAAUCACUGUCCAAAACCUUUUUAGGAACAUGUUUCAGACCUUUUGGAGUUGGUUACACCAAAAAAAAAUGUAAAAUGAAAAAAAAAUAUUUGGGGUGUUCAAGCUUCCUGAAGGUAAUACCCGGGUAUUAGGUUAUGGGGCUAGGGUAAGGUUAAAGGUUUUUGGAGUUAGAGUUAAAAUCAGUGUCCAAAACCUUUUUAGGAACAUGUUUAAGACCUUUUGGAGUUGGUUACACCAAAAAAAAAAUGUAAAAUGAAAAAAAAAAAAUUGGGGUGUUCGGGCUUCCUGAAGGUAAUACCCGGGUAUUAGGUUUUGGGGCUAGGGUAAGGUUUAAGGUUUUUGGUGUUAGGGUUAAAAUCACUGUCCAAAACCUUUGUAGGAACUCUUUUCUGACCUUUUGGAGUUAGUUAGACCAAAAAAAAAGAAAAAAGAAAAAAAUAUAAUUGGGGUGUUCGGGCUUCCUGAAGGUAAUACCCGGGUAUGAGGUUAUGGGGCUAGGGUAAGGUUUAAGGUUUUUGGCGUUAGGGUUAAAAUCACUGUCCAAAACCUUUUUAGGAACAUGUUUCAGACCUUUUGGAGUUGUUAACACCAAAAAUAAAUGUAAAAUGAAAAAAAAAUAUAUGGGGUGUUCGGGUUCCCUGAAGGUAAUACCCGGGUAUUAGGUUUUGGGGCUAGGGUAAGGUUUAAGGUUUUUGACGUUAGGGUUAAAAUCACUGUCCAAAACCUUUUAAGGAACAAGAUUCAGACCUUUUGGAGUUGGUUACACCAAAAAAAAUGUAAAAUGAAAAAAAUAUAUAUUUGGGGUGUUCGGGCUUCCUGAAGGUAAUACCCGGGUAUUAGGUUAUGGGGCUAGGGUAAGGUUUAAGGUUUUUGGCGUAAGGGUUAAAAUCACUGUCCAAUAUUUUUUAAGGAACAUGUUUCAGACCUUUUGGAGUUAGUUACACCAAAAAAAAAAAGAAAAAUGAAAAAAUAUAUAUUUGGGGUGUUCGGGCUUCCUGAAGGUAAUACCCGGGUAUUAGGUUAUGGGGCUAGGUUAAGGUUUAAGGUUUUUGGCAUGAGGGUUAAAAUCACUGUCCAAAACCUUUGUAGGAAGUCUUUUCCAACCUUUUGGAGUUAGUUAGACCAAAAAAAAAAAAAAAAUGAAAAAAAAUAUAUUUGGGGUGUUCGGGCUUCCUGAAGGUAAUACCCGGGUAUUAGGUUAUGGGGCUAGGGUAAGGUUUAAGGUUUUUGGCGUUAGGGUUAAAAUCACUGUCCAAAACCUUUUUAGGAACAUGUUUCAGACCUUUUGGAGUUGGUUACACCAAAAAAAAUGUAAAAUGAAAAAAAAAAAUAUUUGGGGUGUUCGGGCUUCCUGAAGGUAAUACCCGGGUAUUAGGUUAUGGGGCUAGGGUAAGGUUUAAGGUUUUUGGCAUGAGGGUUAAAAUCACUGUCCAAAACCUUUGUAGGAAGUCUUUUCCAACCUUUUGGAGUUAGUUAGACAAAAAAAAAAAGAUGAAUGAAAAAAAAAUAUUUGGGGUGUUCGGGCUUCCUGAAGGUAAUACCCGGGUAUUAGGGUAUGGGGCUAGGGUAAGGUUUAAGGUUUUUGGCGUUAGGGUUAAAAUCACUGUCCAAAACCUUUUUAGGAACAUGUUUCAGACCUUUUGGAGUUGGUUACACCAAAAAAAAUGUAAAAUGAAAAAAAAAAAUAUUUGGGGUGUUCGGGCUUCCUGAAGGUAAUAGGUUUUGGGGCUAGGGUAAGGUUUAAGGUUUUUGACGUUAGGGUUAAAAUCACUGUCCAAAACCUUUUGAGGACCAUGUUUCAGACCUUUUGGAGUUGGUUACACCAAAAAAAAAUGUAAAAUGAAAAAAAAAAAUUUGGGGUGUUCGGGCUUCCUGAAGGUAAUACCCGGGUAUUAGGUUAUGGGGCUAGGGUAAGGUUUAAGGUUUUUGGCGUGAGGGUUAAAAUCACUGUCCAAAACCUUUGUAGGAAGUCUUUUCCAACCUUUUGGAGUUAGUUAGACAAAAAAAAAAAGAUAAAUGAAAAAAAAAUAUUUGGGGUGUUCGGGCUUCCUGAAGGUAAUACCCGGGUAUUAGGUUAUGGGGCUAGGGUAAGGUUUAAGGUUUUUGGCGUUAGGGUUAAAAUCACUGUCCAAAACCUUUUUAGGAACAUGUUUAAGACCUUUUGGAGUUGGUUACACCAAAAAAAAAUGUAAAAUGAAAAAAAUAUAUAUUUGGGGUGUUCGGGCUUCCUGAAGGUAAUACCCGGGUAUUAGGUUUUGGGGCUAGGGUAAGGUUUAAGGUUUUUGGCGUUAGGGUUAAAAUCACUGUCCAAAACCUUUGUAGGACCUCUUUUCCAACCUUUUGGUGUUAGUUAGACCAAAAAAAAACGAAAAUUGAAAAAAAAAUAUUUGGGGUGUUCGGGCUUCCUGAAGGUAAUACCCGGGUAUGAGGUUAUGGGGCUAGGGUAAGGUUUAAGGUUUUUGGCGUUAGGGUUAAAAUCACUGUCCAAAACCUUUUAGGAACAUCUUUUCAGACCUUUUGGAGUUAGUUAGACCAAAAAAAAAUGAAAAUGAAAAAAAAAUAUUUUGGGUGUUCGGGCUUCCUGAAGGUAAUACCCGGGUAUUAGGUUAUGGGGCUAGGGUAAGGUUUAAGGUUUUUGGCGUUAGGGUUAAAAUCACUGUCCAAAACCUUUUUAGGAA
rnacentral:lncRNA from 1 species